AUAGCGUAUAUUAAAGUUGUUGCAGUUAAAAAGCUCGUAGUUGAACCUUGGGCCUGGCUGGCUGGUCCGCCUCACCGCGUGCACUGGUCCGGCCGGGCCUUUCCUUCUGGCUAGCCGCAUGCCCUUAACUGGGUGUGUUGGGGAACCAGGACUUUUACUUUGAAAAAAUUAGAGUGUUCAAAGCAGGCCUAUGCUCGAAUACAUUAGCAUGGAAUAAUGGAAUAGGACGUGUGGUUCUAUUUUGUUGGUUUCUAGGACCACCGUAAUGAUUAAUAGGGAUAGUUGGGGGCAUUAGUAUUCAAUUGUCAGAGGUGAAAUUCUUGGAUUUAUUGAAGACUAACUACUG
rnacentral:rRNA from 1 species